GACGUAGGACGCAAGCGUUAUCCGGAGUUACUGGGCGUAAAGCGCGGGCAGGCGGCUCUGCCAGUCUGAUGUGAAAUCUCCUCGCUCAACGGGGAGCAGCCAUUGGAAACUACAGAGCUGGAGUCUGACAGAGGUAGGCGGAAUUCCGGGUGGAGUGGUGAAAUGCGUAGAGAUCCGGAGGAACACCAGAGGCGAAGGCGGCCUACUGGGUCAGUACUGACGCUGAGCCGCGAAAGCCAGGGGAGCGAACGGG
rnacentral:rRNA from 1 species